rnacentral:rRNA from 1 species
AGGGUCUGAUCCUGGCUCAGAACGAACGUUGGCGGCGUGGAUUAGGCAUGCAAGUCGAACGUGAAAGGUUCCUUCGGAGACCAAGUAAAGUGGCGAAAGGGUGAGUAAUGCAUAAAUAACUUACCUCUGAGAAGGGAAUAACUACUCGAAAGGGUAGCUAAUACCCUAUGAGACCACGGGCUGUAUAGUCUGUGCUUAAAGAUAGGGACUCGCAAGAGCCUUUCGCUCAGAGAGAGAUUUAUGUCCUAUUAGCUAGUUGGUGAGGUAGUUGCUCACCAAGGCAAUGAUGGGUAGCCGACCUGAGAGGGUGACCGGCCACACUGGGACUGAGACACUGCCCAGACUCCUACGGGAGGCUGCAGUCGAGAAUCUUCCGCAAUGCGCGCAAGCGUGACGGAGCGACGCCGCGUGGGUGAUGAAGGCCUUCGGGUCGUAAAGCCCUGUUACCUGGGAAGAAUGGCAAGUUGUUAAUAGCUGCUUGUUUGACGUUACCAGGAGAGGAAGCACCGGCUAAAUACGUGCCAGCAGCCGCGGUAAUACGUAUGGUGCGAACGUUGUUCGGAAUCACUGGGCAUAAAGAGCACGUAGGCGGUCAGGCAAGUCUGAUGUGAAAUCCCCCGGCUUAACCGAGGAACUGCAUUGGAUACUACCUGACUUGAGUACAGGAGGGGAGAGUGGAAUUCCAGGUGGAGCGGUGAAAUGCGUAGAUAUCUGGAGGAACGCCGGUGGCGAAAGCGACUCUCUGGUCUGUUACUGACGCUGAGGUGCGAAAGCUAGGGGAGCAAACGGGAUUAGAUACCCCGGUAGUCCUAGCCCUAAACGAUGGGCACUAAGUAGGGGGAAUCCUAUAUUCUCUCUGCCGGAGCUAAUGCAUUAAGUGCCCCGCCUGGGGAGUAUGGUCGCAAGGCUAAAACUCAAAGGAAUUGACGGGGGCUCACACAAGCGGUGGAGCAUGUUGUUCAAUUCGAACCAACGCGAAGAACCUUACCUGGGUUUGACAUGCUUGGGACAGCCCAUGAAAGUGGGUUUCCUCUAUGAGGCCCUUGCACAGGUGUUGCAUGGCUGUCGUCAGCUCGUGUCGUGAGAUGUCGGGUUAAGUCCCAUAACGAGCGAAACCCUUGUCCUUAGUUGCCAGCGGGUAAAGCCGGGGACUUUAAGGAGACUGCCGGUGUUGAACCGGAGGAAGGUGGGGAUGACGUCAAGUCAUCAUGGCCUUUAUACCCAGGGCUACAAACGUGCCACAAUGGCCGGUACAAAGGGAAGCGAAGCCGAAAGGUGGUGCCAAUCCCAGAAAGCCGGUCUCAGUUCGGAUUGGGGGCUGCAAUUCGCCCCCAUGAAGUUGGAAUCGCUAGUAAUCGCGGAUCAGCCACGCCGCGGUGAAUGUGCUCCUGAGCCUUGUACACACCGCCCGUCAAGCCACCUAAGCAGGGCUUACCCGAAAUCACUGACCCAACCGCAAGGAGGGAGGUGCUGAAGGUGAGCUUUGUGAGGGGGACUAAGUCGUAACAAGGUA